UGGUGGGCUUUCGUCUUGUUUUACUUUUCUUUUUUCACUUCCUUCCUUUGGCAAGGGGCGUCUCUGGCUCUCUGCCGAUCUGCCGCUGCUCGCGGCUGCUACCCAGUUCUCGACGCCCGUCUUGCCGUGGCCUGCUGCUUGCUCCGCCGUUUUCCCGGUGAUUUGGCCGGCGUUGGGCGUGCGUCCGGCGUGUUCUUCAGCGGAUCCCUUUCUCUCGGUCCUACGCUGCCGUCGAGUCUUCAUCUGCUCCAAUCGCUGUCUGUUCUUGGUGUUGCAGGUUCUGGUUGUUUCCAACUUUCCAUCCGCGUUCGUUUUUGCUCGGGGUGGUUACAGGAUCUAUGAAAGAAUUACUUACUUUUGCUAUGCAGAGCGGGAGGAGGUGUUUGACGGAAUUCUCCUAUGAGGAGUAGGGCAGGAAGCUGCCGCCGUGGACGUCGCCGAGGGGGCCUCGCGAAGCCAAGAGCCAGAUGUGGUGUUCCGACGAGGUGGAGCCCCCGCACCCUGCGUGAGAGCGGGCGGCUUUGGGAGCCAAGUCACGCCGCCCCUAACCGCUGGCUUUUGCUGUUCCCCCUUCCUACCGCGUGACCCCGCCAGCUAGCGUCGGCAAGUGCUCUCCCGAGUGAUGUCGCUGGUGGGUGUUCCAGGCCGCCGAGGGCGCCGCUGGCUGUGGUGGAUUCACCAUAUGUGAGGGCGAAGCAGGCGCAGUUAACGCAGUUCACUUCCAUCUAUAAUUACGCGAAGGUCCAGCUUACAAAGGUUCUGCGGCUAAACGUCCAUCCCGGAGUGGGAAAUUUUAUCAUACAUGCUUUCCCUAAUUAGUUGCAGCGGUGUAUGUAAUAACCAUUUUUUUAAUGCCCAAAUAGUUAGGUCAGAUGUGGUUGUAGGUUGGGAAUCUUAUGUAUUAUUAGCUGUUCAUUUUAGUUCAUGAUGAGGCUGAGUAGGUUCAGUGCCGAAUUUUCAUGCUGCGAUUUAGAAUAAUAUAAGAGAUGGAGUACAAGGGUAGAACUGCUAAGAAAUACCUAGGCUUUUGCCAGGCAAAGUGAAAUUUGGGGGGAACGUUUGUUUUUCUGACUUUUUGAUAGCUUGCUUUCUUCGGGUGUUCAUGUUUGAUGCAUUUCCUGGCCCACGAAAUAGAUAUCUUGUUUCUUUACUCGAUCCUUUCUAUGAGAUAAUUCUUCUUUCAUAUAUGUUUCUGAAACAUUAAUAAUAUGCACAGCUGUACAUUAUCGGGUUCAAGUUAGACUUAUUUGUUCAAUCGAUGUGCUUAAGAGAAAUUUAUGUUUUCUGCAGAUAGAAGGGCAGGCUGAUGAAAUAGCUGUUGAUGAUACUUGCAGUUUGCUUUUUCGCACCACAACACACCUGAAGUCUAGGAAUUAAGUUGAGGAUGAAAUAGACUGAAAGGGUGAUAAGUCACUCUAGCAGCAGGUCCCAGCAUGAACUGGUUUGCUUUGCUUGGAGUUCUCCUGUACUAAAGAUUCAAGAAAGCAAAACCAAAGGCGCAGACUACACAAAGAUUAUGCACCAACAUUUAAUUACAGAAGGAUCAGGAUCUUAGCUGCCAGUUCAUAGGGAAAACAUGUAUUUAGAUCUCCCUAAUGGGUAUUAUAUCUCUCUCUCUAUUGAAAAUUAGGUAUUUAUCUUAGCAUUGUUACUGAAUCUAUCUCCAUGCUUGAGAGAGUGCACUUGAAAGGGCCAGUUGGCAUCCAACUCUUGGUCAUCUGCCCUCUCCCGUUGUUUCAUCUGUUGAAAACUGUAACAAAAACUUGGAGACAUAAGCUUUACCAGGAUUAUGAAGGAACCCAACUUCAUGUAAGGAACAUUGGUGGGAUAAUCUAGAGCAUGUAAUUUACUUUCCCUCCAAAGAUUCAUUGUUAGCUUGGUUCUUUUAGUGUGUAUGAUUUAGUUUUUCAAACCAAUGCAGAGAAGUAUUUUAAGUAUUAGAGGUGUAUUA